rnacentral:lncRNA from 1 species
ACGAAUUCUUCAUUCAUUUAUCAAAGCAUGCAUUGUUCUUUACAAAAAUAAAUCAAAAUUCAUUUUUACAAAAAAGUUGACUUUUGGCCAACUGUUGACUUUUUGGUCAAACAGUUGACCAAAAUCAACCAUCAUUUUUUCACCCUAGGAUCUUAACACUAAUGACAUCUUCAUCAUUGUAGCAUCUCAUGAUCAUCCAUGGCCACCAUUUACUCCAUUAAUCAAGCUUUUGCCAAAUUCGUCAUCAUAGCUUGAACUUGCCUUUCUUGCCUUGAAGAUGACUUGUAAUUCUGCCCACCAUGCCUACAUCAAGACCAUGCCAAGUGAAGCCUACAAAAAAAAUCCAUAACACAUCAAGCAUGCCAAACCAAUGCAUUACCAAAUAACCAUAUCAAUUUAUUCAAUAAGCAUCAUAUUCAUCACAUGGCAACAUCACUAAUCAAAUUAGCAACAUUUCAAAUCCAUACCAAGCUAAGUUCAUUACAAGAUCUAAAAUUCAAGCAUAGAAGUGCAUUGCAUGGUCAGGUUCCAAGCAUUCCAUAAUUUAAGGCAUUUUAAGCAUAGCAAGUGGAGACAAACUGAUUGGCACAUUCCAUUCAUUACAAUAACAAUAACAAAACAAGCAUAACAGCCCUAUGUUAACGAGCAUGAAACUUAACCAACAAGUUCAAACAGGGCAGCCAUGAAUCUAUUUACACACAUAAAUUAAGCCAUGAACCUAGCAUUGGCACUCACACAAGGAGUUAUAGCUAACAACAACAUGGAUUUAGGCAGGAUUGCAACAGGGCCAUUACUAAAUAGCAUGGCAUAUAUGUCACGGCUUAAAAAAAUUUAGUUGCCAUUCAAAUUCAUGACAGUCCAUUCAUUACCACCAAUUCACAUUAAUGACAAUUCAUUUAACCACCUCUAACAUUUAACAAUUAAGCAAGGCUAACAAAAAUUCACUCUAAUUUAAAGCAUAACAGAAACAGAAUUGGCAGCAUUCUAGCUUCAAUUCGAGCAUGCCAUACACAAAACAAUUCACCCUAGCAAACAAGCAACAAUGCAUAGAUUGAACAUUCAACAAUAUUCACUUGGCAGGAUUGUUUUGUAUCAACUAAUUGUUAAUCAGGAAAUAAUCAAACACAUUUAUUAUAAAUAAUUUACAUUCAUAGAAUAGAAAAUUAGUAAUUAAGAGCUGUAAUUAGUUAUGAUUAUUCAUUAUGAGUUGUAAUUACCGACACUAUUAUAUAUAGUAUCAAAUACAAUGAGAAAUGCAUCAAGCCAGAAUUUAUAACAUGGUAUCAGAAGGUUCGAUCAAACCAAACCUUUGAAAUUGUGUUAUCUUGGGCUUGUCCGGCGACACCCACUGUGUCGUUCUCGAAAUUGUCUCUUCCAUUCCGGUUCAUUGUCGGAUUCGUUCUGUUGUUUGCGGUUUCGUGCCGUAUCUUGAUUUUGUCUCGGUGAUUCUCGAUUUGAAGGAUUGAGAUCGUGAUUCUCGAUAUUGUUCUGGAUUGUCGUUACUUGUGUGUGACUCUGAGUUUUGCUGCCGUCUCUUGAUUCUCGGUGUUGUUCAGGAUUGACGUUGUUUAGGUUCAAGAUUGACGGUUUUGCUUUGACAUCGUUAUUUCGUAUUUGCGAUCGAUUUUGAUCGGUGACUUCUCACGAUUUUGAUUCAUUGCUGCCAUUUACGACUCUGCAAUCGCAACAGUUGUUUCCUUUGUUAUGGUAUUGGGUAUUUAGGUUUCUAAGGUUAUUUUGUAUUCCUUUCCCUUUUUUUUCUUUUUCUGUAAUUUCAAGUGGUGGGUGCAGAAUUAAAAAAAAAAAAAAAAAAAGAAUAAUAAUAAUAAUUAAUUCUGCUGCACGUGUUUUACUUUAAAAAAAAGUAUUGUAUUAUGAAUUCAGAAAAAGAAAAAGAUAAUUUUUGUGUUCGUUUUACCGGUAAAAAUUAUCCGGCUUGGGAAUUUCAGUUUCGAAUGUAUGUCAAAGGGAAGGGAUUAUGGAAUCACUUGGAUGAUAUCUCUAUGGCGCCAUUAGAGACAACUGAUUUAGAUGCUUGGGAAAUCAAAUAUGCUCAAAUUAUCACUUGGAUUCUCGGUACUAUUGAUCCUCAAAUGAUUAAUAAUUUGCGAUCUUUUUCCACUGCUCAAGAAAUGUGGAACUAUUUAAAGCGUAUUUACAAUCAGGACAAUGCGGCCAAACGUUUCCAGUUGGAGCUCGAGAUAGCCAAUUACAAACAAGGUAAUAUGUCAGUUCAAAAAUAUUAUUCUGGUUUUUUGAAUUUGUGGACAGAACACUCUGCGAUUAUACAUGUGGAUGUUCCCAAGAGUUCUCUUGCGGAUGUCCAGGAGGUCUACAACACUAGUCGACGAGAUCAAUUUCUUAUGAAACUUCGUCCAGAAUUUGAAGUUGUCAGAGGUGCUUUGCUGAACAGGAAUCCUGUUCCUUCUUUAGACACAUGUGUUGGUGAACUUCUUCGAGAGGAACAACGUCUUGCUACUCAAGGAACCAUGUCUCAUGAAGUUGCUGUUUCUGAGCCUACAGUGGUUGCAUUUGCUGCUCAGAGUAGAGGUAAAGGUCGUGAUAUGAGACAGGUUCAAUGUUUCUCCUGUAAACAAUUUGGCCAUAUUUCACGGAGUUGCAAUAAAAAGUUCUGCAAUUAUUGCAAACAGCAAGGUCAUAUUAUAUCUGAUUGUCCCACACGUCCUCCACGACCAACACAACGUUCAGUGCAGGCAUUUCAUGCAAAUACAAAUUCUACCGAUGGCCCUUCUGUUACUAAUGCAUCUAAUGAUGGUACUCUACAGCCUGAACUAAUUCAACAAAUGGUACUUUCUUCUCUUUCGGCCUUGGGAAUUCAGGGUAAGUCUUCUAAUAUUUCUCGCCCAUGGUUUCUUGAUUCUGGUGCAUCCAAUCACAUGACGGGUUCCUCUGAAUAUUUGCACAAUUUACAUUCUUAUCAUGGUAAUCAGAAAAUUCAAAUAGCUGAUGGCAAUACUUUAUCUAUCACUAAUGUUGGCGAUAUAAACUCUGACUUUCGGGAUGUUCUUGUAUCACCCGGACUUGCUUCCAAUUUUUUGUCUGUUGGUCAAUUGGUAGAUAAAAAUCAUGAUGUUAACUUUUCUAGAGAUGGUUGUCUUGUGCAGGAGCAGGUGUCGGGGAAGGUGAUCGCGAAGGGGCCUAAAGUGGGAAGAUUGUUUCCAAUACAAUUUAUUUCUAAUCAUUUAUCUCUUGCGUGUAAUAACGUUUUGAAUUCUUAUGAGGAUUGGCAUAGAAAAUUAGGUCAUCCGAACUCUUCUGUUUUGUCUCAUUUAUGUAAAACUGGUUUGUUGGGAAAUAAAAAUGUUAUUUCUAAUGCCUCGGUUUCAUGUUCUGUUUGCAAAUUGGCUAAAAGUAAAACACUUCCUUUUCCGUCUAAUGCUCACCGUGCCUCUACUUGUUUUGAGAUAAUUCAUAGUGAUGUAUGGGGAAUGUCUCCCGUAGUUUCUCAUGCUCACUAUAAAUAUUUUGUCACAUUUAUUGAUGAUUAUAGUCGUUUUACUUGGAUAUAUUUUCUACGUUCUAAAUCUGAAGUGUUUUCUAUGUUUCAGAAAUUUUUGACAUAUGUUGAAACUCAAUUUCAAGCAAGUGUUAAAAUUUUUCGCUCUGACUCUGGUGGUGAGUACAUGUCUCAUAAGUUUCAGGAAUACCUUCAACAAAAAGGCAUCCUGUCUCAACGAUCUUGUCCCAAUACCCCUCAACAAAAUGGUAUGGCAGAACGUAAGAAUCGUCAUUUGCUUGAUGUAACACGCACUUUACUUCUCCAAGCUUCUGUACCAUCCCGAUUUUGGGUGGAGGCUCUUUCCACAGUUGUCUUCUUGAUCAAUCGUCUUCCUUCUAUGGUUAUUGAUCUUGAUUCUCCUUUCUUUCGUCUUUUUAAAAUUCAUCCUGAUUAUAGUGCUUUACAUACUUUUGGGUGUGUGUGUUUUGUUCACUUACCUCCUUUUGAAAGACAUAAGCUUGGAGCACAAUCCGUUCAAUGUGCAUUUAUGGGAUAUAGUCACUCUCAUAAGGGAUUUGUGUGUUAUGAUGUCACUAACCAUCGUUUUCGCAUUUCUAGAAAUGUGACAUUUUUUGAUAAUCAGUUUAUGUUUCCCUGUGUUUCUCCUGCCAUUAAUGAUAUUGUUACUCUUCCUAAGUUUUCUAUUAUGCCUCAAUCUAUUGAACGUUAUAAACCAGGUCAUGUAUAUGUUAGACAAAACAGGCAGCAGGUUCCCACACCCCUUCCCGUCGCUGAACCGCCACCUGAUCCUGUACCGGUUGAACCACGACGUUCUGGUAGAAUAUCUCGCGCACCAGAUAGAUAUUCACCAGACAGGUAUGAUUCCUCACAUACUUCUCUGACUGCCACACUCUCUAGCAUAUCUAUUCCUACUUGUUACUCACAGGCUGUUAAAGAUGUGCGAUGGAUAAAAGCAAUGAAUGAAGAGCUUCAAGCUCUUCAAGAGAAUUUCACAUGGGAUAUUGUCUCUUGUCCUCCUGAUGUCAAACCUAUAGGUUGCAAAUGGGUGUAUUCUGUGAAAUUAAAUUCUGAUGGGUCCCUUAACCGUUACAAGGCUCGUUUGGUUGCUUUAGGAAACAAGCAGGAAUAUGGAAUUGAUUAUGAUGAGACAUUUGCACCGGUUGCCAAAAUGACAACUGUUCGCACGAUCAUCUCUAUAGCUGCUUCUAGUGGGUGGUCUCUUCAUCAAAUGGAUGUGAAGAAUGCUUUUCUUCAUGGUGACCUGACAGAAGAUAUUUAUAUGAUUCCACCUCAAGGCUUAUUCUCUUCAUCUAAAGGCGUGUGCAAACUCAAACGCUCCUUAUAUGGUUUGAAACAGGCACCUAGAGCAUGGUACGAGAAAUUCCGUUCCACUCUACUUGGAUUCUCCUUUACUCAGAGUCAGUAUGAUUCCUCUUUAUUUAUUCAUAGUACAUCUGCGGGUAUUGUUCUGCUUCUUUUGUAUGUUGAUGAUAUGGUUAUUACUGGUUCUGAUCAUGCUUCCAUUCAGCGACUUAAGCAACAGUUACAGGCCUCAUUUCACAUGAAAGAUUUGGGUAAUCUACAUUAUUUUCUUGGUCUUGAGGUUCAUUCUACAUCCAAGGGCAUCUUUCUCCAUCAACACAAAUAUGCUACAGAUCUGAUUUCUAUGGCUGGUCUCGAAUCGGCUAAUCCGGUAGAUACUCCUCUUGAGGUUAAUGUUAAAUAUCAUCGUGAUGAUGGUGAUCUUUUGCCUGAUCCCUUAUUGUAUCGCCAACUUGUGGGUAGCCUCAACUACUUGACUAUUACUCGCCCUGACAUAUCUUUUGUUGUUCAACAAGUAAGUCAAUUCAUGCAUUCUCCUCGCCAUCUUCACUUAGCUGCGGUUCGUCGUAUAAUUCGCUACUUAAAGGGAACCUCUCACCGCGGAUUAUUCUUUUCCGUUGGAAUUUCUCUUCAGUUGAGUGCUUAUAGUGAUGCUGAUUGGGCAGGGUGUCCUGAUACUCGUCGAUCUGUUACUGGUUGGUGCAUGUUUCUUGGUUCUUCAUUGAUCUCUUGGAAAAGUAAGAAGCAAGCAAGAGUUUCUAAAUCUUCCACUGAAUCAGAGUAUCGUGCCAUGUCUGCUGCUUGUUCAGAAAUACUUUGGCUUCGUGGUCUUUUGGCUGAACUUGGAUUUCCCCAAACAGAGCCAACUUUACUUUAUGCUGACAAUACAAGUGCCAUUCAAAUUGUUGCAAAUCCUGUUUUUCAUGAACGCACCAAACAUAUCGAAGUUGAUUGUCAUUCAAUACGUGACGCCUACGAUGAUCGAAUAAUAUCACUUCCUCACGUCAGUACUCAGUUGCAGGUUGCAGAUAUUCUUACCAAGGCUGUUCCACGCCCACGACAUCAGUUUCUUGUUAGCAAAUUGAUGCUCCUUGACCAGCCGCAUCAAUUUGAGGGGGGAUGUUAAUCAGGAAAUAAUCAAACACAUUUAUUGUAAAUAAUUUACAUUCAUAGAAUAGAAAAUUAGUAAUUAAGAGUUGUAAUUAGUUAUGAUUAUUCAUUAUGAGUUGUAAUUACCGACACUAUUAUAUAUAGUAUCAAAUACAAUGAGAAAGAAUUUAUAACACUAAUAUCAACAACAAAUCAAUGCACACAUGACCAUUCUGCAAGUUCCAUUUGCUACUUAAUUAACCUAGUUAGUAAUAGCAACUAACAUCACCCCAAACCAACAUUGCAAACAGGGUAAAAUCUCAUAACACCAAGCCCUCUAACAAUGCAUUAGCAGCAUGUAUCUCAAGCUAAACCUACCACCAUACGACAUGACAAAAAGCGGUAGGUGAUGCUUUAACGGUUCAACGAUUCCAUAACAAAAAGCAGAAUUGCAAGUGUGGCAUUGUGGUUAACAAUUGCGAACAAUAAAACAACUCAUCUAACAGAUUUUAACACUCUGUUAAUAAAGCAAAUAAACUGACAGUAAAUCUAAUGGGAGGCAAUUAACAUUCUGAUUGAAUAUUGUCAGUUGUUAACAGAAUUUCAAACUUGACUUUGCUUGCAAUCAUUUCCAACUAUCGAAACAAAAUGCAAACUAACUCUCAUAAUAACAUAAUUCCUAACCAAUCACAACUAACCGCAAAAAUCCAAAACAGAAUUCUAUCAUACUAACUGACCACUAACUGAUUUAAAACUGACAACUAACUAGAAACUGAAUUGAUAACUAACCAUCUAAUCUAAUCUGGAUUUUCAGCAUGAAAUUUGAAGCUCCCUCGAAGGUGUGAAAACGGAAUUUGGAAGUAAAGGUCAAACACUGUUGAAACCUUGUGAGCGUUUUGCAAAGACUGGUGCCGUUUCAUAUGGAUCUGUUCCCCUUGGCUGCAAGAAGUGUAGAUCUUGUUUAGGCUUGAGGCCCAAACACGUUCUUGUUCAUACCUCUAUUCAACUCUGCACCAUUCAC